GUGUGUGGGGGAGGCAGAGACGCCAUUACCAGGAGACGGCUCAUACACGCCGUGACGAGCACCGAGCAAAUUGGGCGAUUACGCCUCACCUAGUUGUUAAUGGCCGUUUAGACGUGCAUGUUGUGCAACAUGUUGCGGCCCAUGCUUACCCUGGAGUAUGCCAGUAGUGUGCUUCUACCUGUUUCUCUACUGUCUGGCCGGAGUAUAGUGGCAGUAGAGAGAGGAGUUGAUGGACGGGUUAGAGGCGUCACUAAUACAAGUGACGUGACUGUCGUGGCAGCGUUCAACAAGGUAGUUAGGACUCCAGGGUGAUGACUGGACCUGGCCACACCUCUGGACGCACUGUGACGGACUCGAGGACUGGCAGCAGCCUAGCGGACUCCAUCCGAUGAGGAUGAUGACUGGUGUGAUGGUGGCGGUGUGCGGCUGCCUGCCCUUCCUCCUCCUCCUCACUCCGGCUACAAUGUUGCUGACGCCAGGUCUGGACGAGUCUCCCGCAGUGGACUUGGUCAACGUGGCCAGCAGUGUUGUCAACGCUGUGCUGAGAGCUUCCUCGAGUUCGGAAUGCAGCGUCAUCCUGUUGCUUGAUCCACACUCCACACUCUCU